AAGUCGUAACAAGGUUUCCGUAGGUGAACCUGCGGAAGGAUCAUUAUUGAAUAAGCUUGGUUGGGUUGUUGCUGGCUCUUCGGAGCAUGUGCACGCCUAACACCAACCUUUUACCUCCUGUGCACCUUUUGUAGACCUGGAUAUCUCUCGAGGAAACUCGGUAUGAGGACUGCUGUGCGUCAAGCCAGCUUUUCUUACAUUUCCGGUCUAUGUUUUUAUAUACCCCUUCAGUAUGUCUAUGAAUGUUAUUAUUGGGCUUAACUGUCCUAUAAACUUAUACAACUUUCAACAACGGAUCUCUUGGCUCUCGCAUCGAUGAAGAACGCAGCGAAAUGCGAUAAGUAAUGUGAAUUGCAGAAUUCAGUGAAUCAUCGAAUCUUUGAACGCACCUUGCGCUCCUUGGUAUUCCGAGGAGCAUGCCUGUUUGAGUGUCAUGAAAUUCUCAACCAUUUCAGCUUUAUCUAGCUGAUUUAGGCUUGGAUGUGGGAGUUUGCGGGCUUCUCUGAAGUCGGCUCUCCUUAAAUAUAUUAGUAGGGACCUCUGUUGNCUCAGCUCUUGGNGNGAUAGUUAUCUACGCCAUUCUGCGAAGCAGCUUUAAAAUGGGGUUACUGCUUUCUAACCGUCUCUACCGAGACAACUUCUGACAAUUUGACCUCAAAUCAGGUAGGACUACCCGCUGAACUUAAGCAUAUCAAUAAGCGGAGGNAAAGAAACUAACAAGGAUUCCCCUAGUAACUGCGAGUGAAGCGGGAAAAGCUCAAAUUUAAANUCUGAGGGUCCUUGCGGCCUUCCGAGUUGUAAUCUAGAGAAGUGCUAUCCGCGCUGGACCGUGUACAAGUCUCCUGGAACGGAGCGUCAUAGAGGGUGAGAAUCCCGUCUUUGACACGGACUACCAGGGCUUAUGUGAUGCGCUCUCAAAGAGUCGAGUUGUUUGGGAAUGCAGCUCUAAAUGGGUGGUAAAUUCCAUCUAAAGCUAAAUAUUGGCGAGAGACCGAUAGCGAACAAGUACCGUGAGGGAAAGAUGAAAAGAACUUUGGAAAGAGAGUUAAACAGUACGUGAAAUUGUUGAAAGGGAAACGCUUGAAGUCAGUCGCGUUGGCCAGGAAUCAACCUUGCUUUUGCUUGGCGUACUUUCUGGUUAACGGGUCAGCAUCAAUUUUGAUCGGUGGAUAAAGGUCAGGGGAAUGUGGCAUCUUCGGAUGUGUUAUAGCCUCUGGUUGCAUACAUCGGUUGGGAUUGAGGAACUCAGCACGCCGCAAGGCCGGGUUUUUAACCACGUACGUGCUUAGGAUGCUGGCAUAAUGGCUUUAAUCGACC
rnacentral:rRNA from 1 species